GUCUACGACCAUACCACCGUGAACGCGCCCGAUCUCCUCUGAUCUCGGAAGCUAAGCAGGGUCGGGCCUAGUUAGUACUUGGAUGGGAGACCGCCUGAGAAUACCGGGUGCUGUAGGCU
ensembl:rRNA 5S_rRNA 5S ribosomal RNA